UCUUUCGCACACUCUUACCCCAAGCCCUUGGCCACGAGCGUCUGCAGGUAUUUCCUGGCGGACAGCUGAUCCAGCACUUUGCGGAGGCUCUCCGACCCCUUCUCUCGUGGGUGAAGAGUCGCUCUGCAGGGUCUGGGAAGCCCAGAUGUCUAUGCCAACCUCGUACCUGGCCACCAAAAUGGACCUGCCCCCCUCUGGGGACCUGACACCUGAGCCACCCCAAAGAAGCAGCCACUGGCGGGGACGAGGAAGUUCCUUAGAGACGAGACGUUGGCCGAAGCGAAGACCCGAUGGGGGAGGCCCGGAGCGAUACCCAGAAGGAGGUGGAUGGGUGGGGCGUGCGGCGGCCGACUCCGGCAGCCACCCCCACCCAGCCUCUGAACCCAGGGGAGCCCUUCCCCGCGCAGAUGUAGGUCACGGAGAACCUCCGGCUUCUAUUUUGGGCGGGAGAGGAUUUGGCAGGAACAUGAAUAAUAGAUGCCCCUAAACUUAGCCAGUUUGGCGGCGGCUCAUUCUGUGUGUCAUGUCCACGCACUCUGGUGCCUCGCGCCCAGGGAAAGUGCCAGGCACACGGGACUUCGAAAAUUGCUAGGAGUGAAAUAGGGCUUUGAAGUCUUCUAAAUAAAUAGUUUGCGCUAAUCUGUUAA